rnacentral:misc_RNA from 1 species
ACUUGCCAUAUUCUUCUUUUCUCAAAAUCUUGAUUUCCCCACCCUAUGAUCGCGAUUUGAGUGAGGAAUGCAGAGAUGCCAGUGCUGUCUCCUCUAACCACGGGGUCUCCGAAACCGGCAACCCCUUGUCACACCGCCUUCUUCGUCAGCACAUAUUUCCGCCAAAAGUCGAUAGGGAAGGAGAUCUAAAAACAAUAAUCUGGU